AUACGUAGGUGGCAAGCGUUGUCCGGAAUUACUGGGUGUAAAGGGCGUGUAGGCGGAGAUGCAAGUCAGGAGUGAAAUCUAGGGGCUCAACCCCUAAACUGCUUUUGAAACUGUAUCCCUUGAGUAUCGGAGAGGCAGGCGGAAUUCCUAGUGUAGCGGUGAAAUGCGUAGAUAUUAGGAGGAACACCAGUGGCGAAGGCGGCCUGCUGGACGACAACUGACGCUGAGGCGCGAAAGCGUGGGGAGCAAACAGGAUUAGAUACCCUGGUAGUCCACGCUGUAAACGAUGAAUACUAGGUGUGGGGGGACUGACCCCCUCCGUGCCGCAGUUAACACAAUAAGUAUUCCACCUGGGGAGUACGAUCGCAAGAUUGAAACUCAAAUGAAUUGACGGGG
rnacentral:rRNA from 1 species